AUGACUGGUCACACGAUCACGUUCUCCAUGUGUAGGUGCUCUUCAGUAGCGCUAUGUGUGCUCCUUGCCACCAGCUGCCUCAUGCUAGCCGGCUGCUCCUCUGAGUCGUUGCCGACGAGCGAUGAUCUUCCCCGUGACCGUGAGCGCUCCGACAUCGGCACCGACGACCACCAUGGUCUGAUGAUGGGCCGUUUCCAUGUGUGGAUGACGGCGCAAAACAGAUCCUACUCCACCUCCGAUGAGAAGGCUCGCCGGUUUGAGGUAUACAAGAGCAACAUGAGGUACAUAGAGGCUGUGAAUGCCGAGGCCACCACCUCUGGGCUCACGUACGAGCUUGGGGAGGGUCCCUUCACUGACCUUACAGAUGAAGAGUUCAUGGCGCUUUAUACCAGGCAGAUUCUGGAAGAUGACGAGCAGAUUAUCACCACCCAUGUUGGCCCUGUCAAUGGCGCGGGCACAUAUGAGGGUGUCGCGUGUAUGCCAACUUCUCAGCCAGGGCGCCGAGUAGCGUGGACUGGAGGAAGAGAGGCACCAUCACCCCGGUUAACGACCAAGGGAAAUGCGGAUCUUGCUGGGCAUUCGCCGCCGUGGGUGCAAUCGAAGGACUACACAAGUUCAGGAGAGGGACCCUGGUGUCUCUGUCGGAGCAACAGCUAG
rnacentral:rRNA from 1 species